rnacentral:tRNA from 1 species
GGGGAUAUAGCUCAGCAGCACAGCACCUGCCUGGCAAGCUCAAGCUCCCAAGUUCGAUUCCUGGUACCCCA